rnacentral:rRNA from 1 species
UACGGGGGGGGCAAGCGUUGUUCGGAAUCACUGGGCGUAAAGCGCACGUAGGCGGCUUCUUAAGUCAGGGGUGAAAUCCUGGAGCUCAACUCCAGAACUGCCUUUGAUACUGAGGAGCUCGAGUCCGGGAGAGGUGAGUGGAACUCCGAGUGUAGAGGUGAAAUUCGUAGAUAUUCGGAAGAACACCAGUGGCGAAGGCGGCUCACUGGCCCGGUACUGACGCUGAGGUGCGAAAGCGUGGGGAGCAAACAGG